GGGGUUGUGGCUCAGCGGUAGAGCGCUCACCCAGCAUGUAUGCAGCCCUGGGUUCGAUCCUCAGCACCACA
rnacentral:tRNA from 1 species